rnacentral:tRNA from 1 species
GCCUUCGUGGUAUAGUGGUCAGCGCACUAGAUGCGUAACCGAGAGGUCUGUGGUUCAAUUCCUGGCGAAGGCG